UCCACGGUAAAAUACGACGACAAGUGAGUAAUGGAUUACGCGUCUAAUUCUUGUACUUUUCGUAAAAUUUUUGAUUCAAACCAGAGCUUCUGGCCUUGCUGUUGCAGGAGGACGGAAAUGCAUACGCGUCCAGCCGUUGUUGUGUGGCAAGGACACGAGCGUGCAUUUUGUCGGUUGCCGGUUUUGUUUUACUUGAGCAGAAUAAUUGGUUCGUUGGACGCGUUAAGCUAACGGCUACACAAACGGCAAUUACAAACGGUUUAUAAAAGUUUCGCUUCAUUGAUUGCAACGCUGAUUUUGUUUUGAUAGAAAAAAUUUAAGUUUUAAAGGCAAACUCAGAAAAAAAACAAAGUCACAAAAGUCACUGGAUAUGCCGUGUUUUGUUGGCUGAGCGGGUUGUGUUAUGCGAUUCAGUCUGUCGUUGACUAACGUUUGCGUUGUGUGAGUGGCGUAGCCGAGAACGAUUGUCGUGAGUCGUUAAAACGGCUUUUCUGUGUUUACUUCGUAGCACAAUCCUGCCAGUGAUUUAAGCUGUGUAAUGUUUCAGCGGCUAGAUCAAGAAGUUGAAUCCAAGGAAGGAACAUAAAACUUCCUUUCCACUGAAUAUACGGACAGAACCCUUCCAGAUGCUCAAUAGCAAGAGGUGGCUGAAAUAUUAAAGAUGCGCCGAUCGGAAGUGGCAGCCAAAUAGAAUUCUUCCAGGCGCCCUUUAAUCGUAUAAGUCACACAAAAAAGUGUACAAGCUGCAGGAAGAACGCCCAUGAUGAGCCCGCUCUAAAUAUCAUUUCUAGAGCCGACUUUGCGUGCUGAAGCGAAUGUCAACUAAAAUCUAACAAAUGUUAGACAGUCCAUCGGCUUUGAGCUCUCCAAAAACAUUGUUGGAGUCGUAGUUGAACGUGCGCUAGAGUCCUCGCAUCAGAAACUAAAACUGAUGGUUGGAAUGAGUUAGGCAAGAAAUUCCAUAAUUAGCAAAGGAGUUCAAGCGGGACAUAUGUGAAUUGAUAUUCGACUACUAAAAGAAAUUGUUUAAAUGAGUUAAGCAUUAACCUCCUCCACUCGGUAAAACUGGCGCAGCCUAAUAGAACAGCUCAACUCACCACGUCCGAUGACACCAUAUUCAUACAUCACCAUACAACACAACUCACCACACAAUCAACCCAGUCAACAAAAAGGUUGGCAACGGAAAAGCAGGCACACAUAUCGUCGAGCCCUCAUCGCUGAUACAAUUAGAUUUCCCACUGCGCCGCGUAAACAAUACAUUCGUUACAUACAAUUUACAUUCGCACGUUAACACUCGAACAGGCACUGCGCUCAUCAACAUUCAACAAGACAAUUCGAUCUACACAAGCCACACAUGGACAUUCGCUAUCAACGUUCGUCUACUGGAGAUUCGUUUAUACCCUGCGCGGCGACCUCAAUCCGCGGAACCUCGAUCCCCAGCUCCGGCACCUCGUCUCAGAAUUCAAGUCUCUCCAUGCCGUCGCGGCUUAUAUCAGUUUAUAAAAUAUAAAUUUAUUUUAUAAAUAAAAUUGUUAAAAACUAAAGUAUAAAGAGUUUUUUAUUUUAAUCGAAGCGGUGGUGUGUGCUCCACAGUAUAUUGGAGAUACAAAUUUAAUCAGAAAUGUUGUACACUUGUAUGUAUUAAUAAAACCUGAUUUCACUAUUUUGUUUUAUAGCUUAACAUCAUGCCGUUGAAAUUCGCAAAUGUACCUUUUCUUUUUAUAUUUUUUUCAACGUGAGAGAGCAAAUUUUUAAAAUACUAUAUUCAUUGGUAAAUUGAAUAUGUUUGGAUGUACAACAGUUUAAAUUUAAAAUAAAAC